rnacentral:rRNA from 1 species
AACGAACGCUGGCGGCAUGCCUAACACAUGCAAGUCGAACGAGACCUUCGGGUCUAGUGGCGCACGGGUGCGUAACGCGUGGGAACCUGCCCUUAGGUUCGGAAUAACUCCCCGAAAGGGGUGCUAAUACCGGAUAAUGUCUUCGGACCAAAGAGUUAUCGCCUUUGGAUGGGCCCGCGUUGGAUUAGCUAGUUGGUAGGGUAAAAGCCUACCAAGGCCACGAUGCAUAGCUGGUCUGAGAGGAUGAUCAGCUACACUGGGACUGAGACACGGCCCAGACUCCUACGGGAGGGAGCAGUGGGGAAUAUUGGACAAUGGGCGAAAGCCUGAUACAGCAAUGCCGCGUGAGUGAUGAAGGCCUUAGGGUUGUAAAGCUCUUUUACCCGGGAUGAUAAUGACAGUACCGGGAGAAUAAGCUCCGGCUAACUACGUG